UACGGAGGGGGCGAGCGUUAUUCGGAAUUAUUGGGCGUAAAGGGCGCGUAGGCGGCUGAACAAGUCAAAGGUGAAAUCCCUCGGCUCAACUGAGGAACUGCCUUUGAAACUGUUCGGCUUGAGGCCGGGAGGGGUAGCGGAAUUCCCAGUGUAGCGGUGAAAUGCGCAGAUAUCAGGAAGAACACCCGUGGCUAAGGCGGCUCUCUAGUACGGUACUGACGCUGAGACGCGAAAGCGUGGGGAGCGAACAGG
rnacentral:rRNA from 1 species